rnacentral:rRNA from 1 species
ACCUAGGAACUAGGGAUACCGGCCACAUUGGGACUGAGACACGGCCCAAACUCCUACGGAAGGCAGCAG